rnacentral:tRNA from 1 species
UGGCUCAGAGGUUAAAGCAUCUGCCUGCAGUGCAGGAGACCUGGGUUCGAUCCCUG